AUUGAACGUUGGCGGCAUGCUUUACACAUGCAAGUCGAACGGUAACAGGCCGCAAGGUGCUGACGAGUGGCGAACGGGUGAGUAAUGCAUCGGAACGUGCCCAGUCGUGGGGGAUAACGCAGCGAAAGCUGCGCUAAUACCGCAUACGAUCUAUGGAUGAAAGCGGGGACCGUAAGGCCUCGCGCGAUUGGAGCGGCCGAUGUCAGAUUAGGUAGUUGGUGGGGUAAAGGCUCACCAAGCCAACGAUCUGUAGCUGGUCUGAGAGGACGACCAGCCACACUGGGACUGAGACACGGCCCAGACUCCUACGGGAGGCAGCAGUGGGGAAUUUUGGACAAUGGGCGCAAGCCUGAUCCAGCAAUGCCGCGUGCAGGAAGAAGGCCUUCGGGUUGUAAACUGCUUUUGUACGGAACGAAACGGCUCUCUCUAAUACAGGGGGCUAAUGACGGUACCGUAAGAAUAAGCACCGGCUAACUACGUGCCAGCCGCCGCAGUAAGAC
rnacentral:rRNA from 1 species